AUUGAACGCUGGCGGCAUGCCUUACACAUGCAAGUCGAACGGCAGCACGGGUGCUUGCACCUGGUGGCGAGUGGCGAACGGGUGAGUAAUACAUCGGCACAUGUCCUGUAGUGGGGGAUAGCCCGGCGAAAGCCGGAUUAAUACCGCAUACGAUCUACGGAUGAAAGCGGGGGACCUUCGGGCCUCGCGCUAUAGGGUUGGCCGAUGGCUGAUUAGCUAGUUGGUGGGGUAAAGGCCAACCAAGGCGACGAUCAGUAGCUGGUCUGAGAGGACGACCAGCCACACUGGGACUGAGACACGGCCCAGACUCCGACGGGAGGCAGCAGUGGGGAAUUUUGGACAAUGGGCGAAAGCCUGAUCCAGCAAUGCCGCGUGUGUGAAGAAGGCCUUCGGGUUGUAAAGCACUUUUGUCCGGAAAGAAAUCCUUGGCCCUAAGACGGUCGGGGGAUGACGGGACCGGAAGAAUAACACCGGCUAACUACGUG
rnacentral:rRNA from 1 species